GUGUUGUACGAAAUGAGAGGAUGCCAUUCCCUUUGAUAAGGAUAGAAGAGGCCCUAAUGGCCUUUACAACACACACAUGGUUAAAUCAUUGCCAGUUAUUCUGUGCCAUCUAACCAUGUCUAUCA